rnacentral:rRNA from 1 species
GUCUUAAUAGGAAAAUAUUAAGUCCAAUCUGCUCACUGAAAUUUAAAGAGCCGCAGUAUUUUGACUGUGCAAAGGUAGCAUAAUCAAUAGUUUUUUAAUUGGAAGCUUGAAUGAAAGAUUAGAUGAAAAGUUAAUUUUCUUUAAUAUAAAAAUUGAAUUUAAAUUUUAAGUGAAAAUUCUUAAAUAAAAUUAAAAGACGAGAAGACCCUAUAGAUUUUUAUUGAUUAAUAAAUAUAAUUUAUUUUUUAAUUAAUUUAGUUGGGGUGAUGAUGUAAAAUAAUAAACUUAAUGUAAAAACACCAGCGAUAAAUGAAUUUUUGGAUCUAAAAAUUUUAAUUGAAAGAAUAAAUUACCUUAGGGAUAACAGCGUAAUUUUAUUUAAGAGUUCAUAUCUAUAAUAAAGUUUGCGACCUCGAUGUUGAAUUAAAGAUGGUAUUGAAGUAGAAAGUAAUAUUAUUAGUCUGUUCGACUAUUUAAAUUU